UCCCCAGACUAGAGCCAUGGUGGGAGAACUCAGGGAGGGGCUAUAGUCUGGUCUAACUUACCAUGUCUGCCAUGGCCCCAACAGGAGACCCCUUCCCAGGGCAGCUCUGUACUCCUUCAAGGCUGCCCGGGCUCUGCUGGACCACAGAAAGGUGGAAUCCAGCCCAGCCAGCCUGGCCAUCUGUGAGAAGGCCAGUGGGUACCUGCGGGACAGCUUAGCCUCUACAUCAACUGCCAGUUCCAUUGACAAGGUGAGGGGUAGGGUGGGUUCCUGUCUAGGCCAGGAUCACAGCUACCCAUUCCCAGUUUCUUAGAGUUAGUACAAAAUAAUGCUGAGUGGACUUACCUCAGUUCUUGACGAAGGCGUGAGUCUUGGGGACAGUGGUCUCACUCUUUUGCCACCACCAGGAAGGAUGUGGAGAGUGGACUGGCAGGGCUCCUGUUGGGGGCCAUCGUCAGGAAGAGGGAGGGCUUGUAGCAUGUAGCCUAGAGAAGGUGGGCCUGUGACACACUGCACUUGCACUGCACGUCUGAGGUAGAGUGCUUCAGUGACGCAGCCUGGAGUCAGGCCCUGGCGCUGUGGACUUUCUGACUUUUCCAAUGCUAGAGCCUCCCAGGGGUGCAGGCCUUGAGAUAGCUUGGCCCUCAGCUAGGGAAAGGCUGAUUUCCAUAGAGAAAUUCCUCCCUCUGCCCUGCCUGCUAUCCCAGGCCAUGCAGCUGCUCCUGUGUGAUCUACUUCUUGUGGCCCGCACCAGCCUAUGGCGGCGCCAACAGUCAGCAGCUUCAGCCCAGGGAGCUCACGGUACCAGCAAUGGACCCCAGGCCUCUGCUCUGGAGCUGCGUGGUUUCCAACAUGACCUGAGCAGCCUGAGGCGCUUGGCACAGAGCUUCCGGCCUGCUAUGAGGAGGGUCUUCCUACAUGAGGCCACAGCUCGGCUGAUGGCAGGAGCAAGUCCUGCCCGGACACACCAGCUCCUGGACC
rnacentral:lncRNA from 1 species